rnacentral:rRNA from 1 species
AUGGAUUCCGGUGACGCGUGGGGCCGCUCCUCCUCCACCUCCUCCUCCGCCGCCGCCGCGAGGCGCCUGCAGUCCCGCUACGAUCUGUACAUGGGGUUCGACGACGCGGACGCCGGCGGGGACGAGGUGGAGGCGCGCGGGGCGGAGGCCUACAACUGCCCCUUUUGCGGCGAGGACUUCGACUUCGUCGGGCUCUGCUGCCACAUCGACGACGAGCACGCCGUCGAGGCCAAGAGCGGGGUAUGCCCCAUCUGUGCUACAAGGGUUGGGGUGGACUUGAUAGGCCACUUGACAAUGCAGCAUGGAAGUUACUUCAAGAUGCAACGCAGGCGCAGAGUCCGAAAAGUAUCUUCCGGGUCCCAUUCUUUGCUGUCUUUGUUGAGAAAGGAUUUAAGAGACGGCAGUUUGCAGUCCUUUCUUGGUGGAUCAUCCUAUGUAUCUAAUCCUCCCGCUGCAGCCCCUGAUCCAUUUUUGCAAUCUUUAAUUUGUAGUUUGCCUGUGGCUGAACCAUCGAAAGAUUUUCGUUCCGACUCAUCUGACAAAACAUUUUUGCUAAAUAAAUUCCCAGAUGAAAAGGUCGUAGAGAGAGCUGAAACAUCUCUGUCCGAGAAGGAUCAGAAGGAGAGGGCUCAGAGGAGUGCAUUUGCCCGUGGGCUUGUGCUUUCCACAAUAUUUGAUGAUGAUACCAUGUAA